rnacentral:lncRNA from 1 species
AACACUACUACUAUAUUAUCACUCAAAACUAGAGGCUAGCUACUAAACUACUUUGCUCUAGUUGUUGUGAGUUCAAGGAUCUUCUAUAGGCUAUUCAUCUCCCCUCUAGUCAUCUAAAUCCUUUCACCUAGCUCGCUCACACUGCCUGGCCGACUUGAGAAGCUGAUAGGACAAGACCCCCUUACCACCGACAACCUAUGCAAGAAGAAAGACUAGUGGUUCGGUCACUAGCUUUUAAUGGGUCCUCAGCAACCGAGUCAACAACUGGUGGCUAAGAGAAGCCAUGCUCUAGGCCACGAGGGCCCAUAAAACUCACCCGAAAAAGGUAAAAGUAGGGGC